rnacentral:lncRNA from 1 species
AUGGACUCAGACUUCCCACAAGUCUUCUAGAAAGAACUCACCUGCCUCAUCUGCCUGAAUUACCUCAUAGACCCCAUCACUAUAGGCUGUGGGCACAGUUUCUGUAGGCCCUACCUCUGCCUUUGCUGGGAAGAAGCACACACUCCUGCCCUGCGUGCAGGGAACUGUCACAGCAGGAAGAUUUCAACCAAUAUUCUUCUGAAUAAUCUAGUGUCCAUUGCCAGAAAAGCCAGUCUCUGGCAAUUCCUAAGCUCUAAUUAACAAAUGUGCGGGAUCCACAGGGAGACAAAGAUGUUCUGUGAUGUGGGCAAGAGCCUGCUCUGUUUUCUGUGUUCUAACUCUCAGGAACACUGGGGCACAGAGACACUGGCCCACUGAAGGGGCAGCUAAGGAACACUGUGUAAGUGAUGACUCAAAGCACUUUGAAAGCUGGAGGGCAGCA